rnacentral:rRNA from 1 species
AUUGAACGCUGGCGGUAGGCCUAACACAUGCAAGUCGAACGCGAAAGUCCUUCGGGAUGAGUAGAGUGGCGGACGGGUGAGUAACGCGUAGGAAUCUGUCCUGUAGUGGGGAUAACGUUUCGAAAGGAACGCUAAUAACGCAUACGCCCCACGGGGGAAAGCGGGGGAUCUUCUGACUGCGUGCUAUAGGAGGAGCCUGCGUCGGAUUAGCGAGUUGGUGAGGUAAAGGCUCAACAAGGCGACGAUACGUAGCUGGUCUGAGAGGAUGAUCAGCCACACCGAAACUGAGACAAGGUCCGGACUCCUACAGGAGGCAGCAGUGGGGAAUAUUGCGCAAUGGGCGAAAGCCAGACGCAGCCAUACCGCGUGUGUGAAGAAGGCCUUCGGGUUGUAAAGCACUUUCAGUGGGGAGGAAAAGCUGGUGGCUAAUAUCCAUCGGCCGUGACGCUACCCACAGAAGAAGCACCGGCUAAUUCCGUGCCAGCCGCCGCAGUAAAAC